rnacentral:rRNA from 1 species
CACGUACUGUGCGAACGUUAUUCGGAAUCACUGGGCUUAAAGGGUGCGUAGGCGGCAAUUCAAGUCAGGUGUGAAAUGCCUGAGCUCAACUGAGGCAUUGCGCUUGAAACUGAACUGCUUGAGUAUCCCAGGGGUGUGCGGAACUGCCAGUGGAGCGGUGAAAUGUGUUGAUAUUGGCAGGAACACCGGAGGCGAAAGCGGCACGCUGGGGGAUAACUGACGCUGAGGCACGAAAGCCAGGGGAGCGAACGGG